rnacentral:rRNA from 1 species
UGCAGAGGUCCCAAGCGUUGUUCGGAUUCACUGGGCGUAAAGGGUGCGUAGGUGGUGAGGUAAGUCGGAUGUGAAAGCUCGGAGCUCAACUCCGAAAUGGCAUUGGAAACUACCUUGCUCGAGGGUUGGAGGGGGGACUGGAAUACUUGGUGUAGCAGUGAAAUGCGUAGAUAUCUGCAGGAACACCCGUGGCGAAAGCGGCGCGCUGGACCACUACUGACGCUGAGGAACGAAAGCUAGGGGAGCAAACAGG